AUAAACCACGCCUCACCCUAAAACGCCAAAGUUUGCUCGCUCCCGUUCCUUCGCUGUCUCCGACGCUGGGAAAAGAAACCUCGGUUCGCCGUCGAAGUGUCCAUAUUUAUCUCGCGGUUAACCCGCGGCUGAGCCAUACACUCAUCCAUGGGAAAUCUUCUCCAGGAGAAUAUGUUCGCAGGCCACGCCAUUGCGGCGGCCGGCUCCGUCGCCGUCGCCUCCUCCUUCACUCAUCCCCUCGACACCCUCAAGACGCUCCUCCAGGUUGGUGCGGGGUCUGCGCAAAAAUUGAGUAUCGCUCAGGUGGUAGAAAGCGUUCGAUCGGCAUCAGGAGUUUCAGGUAUAUAUAGUGGGUUUGGAUGGUCAACACUUGGUAAGAUUUCAGGCAUAGGAGCACGCUUUGGAAUCUAUGAAAUAGUGACAGCUUUUUAUAAAGAUGGAAGGGAAGACAACUACGUGUAUGUUUCUGAGGCCCUUUUGGCUGGCAUAGCUGCUGGUGCCAUAGAAUCUGUUAUGUGUACUCCAUUUGAACUUCUUAAGCUUCGUAGACAAGUUUCAGCAACACGCAUUAAAACUUCGAGCUCUCAUAAGGCUAUGCAAGAAUCAACUCCACUAAUUUCAAAACUGUUACCUGGUUAUACUCCUGGUGUCAAGGCAUGGAACAAUACUGUGGGCCUUUUGUCCACUCUUUCACCCAAACAUCCAGACAUGGUUGGUGUGCUGAAACAGUACCCUUGGAUGCUGACUGGUUCCGGGAGGCCACCACUUGCAUCUGAUGUUAAAGGUCCUUUCAAUAUCAUAUCCUUGGAAGGAUGGAGUGCUUUAUGGAGAGGACUUCGACCAGGAAUUGCUCGGGACUGUGUAUUUGGCGGUGUUUUCUUUUCCACCUGGCAAUUCUUUCAUAUAGCUAUGCUUAACUGGAAGGCUCUUGAUAUAAACCCUCCUCCCAGGUCAAUUGAUGAAGUAGGUCCUGUAUCCCCAUUGGCUUCUAGUCUUGCUGCUGGCUUUUCUGGAAUGGCUGCUGCUGCUUCUUCUCACUCAUUUGACACUGCCAAAAGUCGGUCACAAUUUAUUGUUACACCGAAGUACAUGGCCAUGGAGAGGAAGCUUCUUAGAUGGAAAGCACCUGGAAUUUGGCUAGAAAGAGUGACAGGGAUGUCUCCUGCUGAUAGGAAUAUCAUGUUCCGUGGUCUUUGGUUGCGGAUGGUGCGUAGUGGAAUUGCAUCUUCUGCACUUGUUGGAAGUUACUUAUUGGCAGUUGAGUACCUCUUUUAACUGCCAUUUGACUGAGGUUGGAAGCAUCAGAAAACAGGCAGGGCCCCCUAAACAAUCUAAACAUGAGGUCAUAUUGCCUCAUAUUGUUCUAUCAGUCAAGACCGAUUGGGUCGGUAUACAAGAUAUCGCGUAGCCUAUCGACAUGCUAUGUGAAUGUUCAGUGAGAUCAAAAUUACCAAGAGUUGCAGUUUGAGAAAAUUACGAUUCAUUGCUACUGGAUGUUUGGAUAACAACCAAUUAGUUAUAUUCAGAAGCAAAUCUGUUAGGAGUCCAUAUGUUCAUGGUGUACUUUUAUCUAAUUAUUCUGAUUUUGAUGAUGUCAAGUGAAGUUCGGCCAGUUGCCAUUGUCUAUGAGAAGAAGAUUUAUGAGCUUAUUCUAUGAAAUCUUAUCAACAUUGAAUAUCCAGAAAUUUUGGACAUUGUAGUAGAACUGUUAUGAUUUGAUUGCAAACAAGGAGAGCCGGGGGCAGUUGCGCCCCCUUGAA